UUGGGAAUCUGAAAUCAGAGAGGAAAGCCACCCCUUCACAGAGCAAUAUGACUGGAAAUUCCCAGGAAGGACAGAGAGGUGCCCAUUGGGGGGAAGAAGGAAAGCUCAGCCUUGCGGUGAAUCAGCAGAAAAGACGAUGGGGAGCUACUAGAAGAAUCUUCAGAGGAAGCCAGAUGUGUGCGUUCGGCAUGUGACCCAAGACAAGCCCUGAGCAAGAACGAGAUCAUUUUUUUCCCUCGUUCGACACACCGUUGAUUGUGGCGGCAUUGUGAGGUGAGAGAAUCUGACAGCACUAACUCUCCAGGGCAGAACUUUCCAGUCAAGUGGAUCAACGGACUGAAAAUCUCUUAUGAAUAGUCAUUAGGCCUUCAUUACAAGGCCCCUACAACCCGGCUCCCUUUUUUUUUUUCUUGCAACCAAAUGCCUUUUGUCAUUUUCACAAGGUGCACUAUUUAAUUACCAAUUGAUUUCUUCAUAUAUGACAACACGUCAAAUAGCAAAAUACAGAGGAAGUCCCUCAGGGGCCCAACAUUUGUUAACUAUCUGCGUGCCAGAUUGCAAUGCUUAGCUAGCAUAUUAUGGAUUGUGAUACUUCAAUCACUCCCCUCAAAGUUCCAGUCAUUUUCAAGUGUCUGCAAAUCAAUUGUCGUUUCACUAUAUCCCAUUGGUUAGCACGGAAAAGACACCAAAAUCAGUGAAAAAAAUAACUAGGGUUCCUGAUUCCUCAAAAGGAAAAAACCCUGUAAAUUGGGCAUUUAUUCUGUAUUUCCAGAUUUCAAUUUUUAUUUCAUAUACAGGAGUGAAAGUUGCCAUGUUGCUUGCCUCAUUUUCCAUCAUAACAUUAUGUCAAAGGCAAUGUGCCUACUGUGGGCAAAUGUUCAGGCAUUCCACCAGGGCAGAUCCCAUUAGCAGGUAUAGAGAUUUUAAGGAAUAUGGAUAUAAUAAGCUACUGUUCUGUUUAAGGGAGACAAUACUCAAUCUCCCACUGCAUGCAUAAACACAAUAUGCAAAUAUUAUAUGCAGUAUUCGCAUACUGUGCUGCCUAAGGGAAGCAACAUGGCAGCUCCCACUCAUAUGCAUAAAUACUCAUGUGCAUUAUACAUUCAUUCAAUGCUCACAACAACCCUGAUUUUAUUUAACCACCCACCCAAGCUAGAAAUAUCUCCUAUUAUUGCUUUUUAUUAUUGAUAAUUAAGCAGUUUGUCAUUGCCAAAUGUUGAGGGAAUCUGUUUUGAACCCCACUGCUACCUCAGUUGCUUCCACCAUAAAUAAAGAAAAAAUUUCACAUGAAAUAAGUAGAAUUAUGAGCGCAUCAAGGAGAGCUGAGGGGAAACACAAAGACUUGUGUGGGUAUUUAAAUUUGGCCGCAGGUAAAAAUGAAUGGGCCUGACUGAUUUUCACACUUUCCUUUCACCAUAAAGAUGACAGCUUUCUUUUCAUCUUUGAACUUUAAGAUUCAUAACGACUUUAUUCAUAUCGCUUCAGUUCCCGUGCGUGUCGCUCAGACCUCAAUUUUCCAUACUACUAAAGACAGAAACAAAGUGAUCUGAACAUGGAGAAUGUCUCCAUACUGGGUCUUUUCUUCCAUCAUUUUUUUAAGCUACCAGUAUCUCAGGCUGGGAGGCCACAAGGUUUCUUAUCACCUGUAGUAUAGUCUAUUUCAUUUUAGUCUUCUUACAAGAAAUCAGGAGUGUGGCCUAGCAUGGCUUGAUGUCAUUGAAGGCAUAGCCAACUGUAAAUAGAACUCUUCAUAGCAGGACCGUCUACAUUAGAUGUCUCCCCUAUGCUAAGAAUAAUUCAGCAGGAAAAGUGAAAAGUUAUACUUGCCCUUUUUUUUAUUGGUCAAGAUAAUACACAGCCUGGUCUUUGCUUAUUACGUCAUUAAAUAUACAUCUAUAAAAAAGCUGGAGGAGUGGUACUGGAGAAACAAAAAUGUCCUGGCUCCUUUCUUGCAAACGCUUACUUCCUUUUCACUCUGUGACUUGAUCAAAAAUGACAGUUUUUCUACUGUUUACAUGAGUUCUAUUAGAUAAGGCAUUUAGGUGAGUAAUCUGUAAGGGGAGGGGGGGCACCCCUGACUUGGGGUUGGCCUCGCUCAUGAAUAGUUUCAUAAUUUAUUACAUUGUAAUUUAUUUAUUUGGCUGCAUGGGAGAGAUAAGAAUUGUAAUGGGGGGGGGAUACAAGUGCCAAAGGAACAAGAAUGAAAACAGGAAUGUUAUGAAAACUGAAGCCGUUAAGAAACAGCAAGGUGCACUGUAUUAUUCAAGGCUAAAUCACAGCGUAUUGAAUUAUUUAUAGAGAAAAAUGAUACUGUAGAUACCCCUUAAAGGGCUGGAGAAAGGGACACCAUCAAUGGUGGUUUGGUAUAUGCUUCAUUAUCAUAGUCUAUAUACCAUACCCUACUCUAACCCUUGGUCCCGGUGCCCUAUAUAUUCAUGUUAAGACAUACAAGUGAAGGGGUAAGUUCUAUUUUGCUGAUAAAACACCCAUUACUCCAUGACAGCCUUUGGCAGCUGGUUGGAUAAAAAUGUUAUGUUAUCUAAACCUCUCCCUCAUAUGAAUACUUUGAGCUCAGUAUUGGGCUGAAAAGAUCGUUUGGCCCUCGGCAUCAACAUGCCAAUGUGAUCCUUGCCCCGAUGCGAAAGAUCUAACUUGCCAAAUUGGAAUCUUUUAGUCAGAUAUCGCUCUGGCAGGCCCAUCGUCCAGGCACCAAAGAAUUUUAAGGACCAACUCAGCAGUCCAUGUAAGGCCAGCUUAAGGGUAUUGCCAGGAGUUUUGAGCAAUUAAGAGGCAAUUUGUAUUAGUCCGUUAUCCCACAUCAUUCUUACUUACAUCUGCUUCUCUUUGGGGAGCCACAAUGACCCAUGGUAAUUAUUUCUGCUUUAACCCCCUGUAAGCAAUAUGGUAGCACCUACUAAUAUGCAGAGAAGGAAUGCUUUAUAUGCAAAAUGUAUCGAGUAACCAUAAGCAAGACCCAACUUAAAAGUUUUAGUUCCCCUUCAACUGUUUAAUCUAACACACAGAAUUGUGUAAAACUUAUACAGACCACAAAGUGGUAAAAAAAAAAAAAAAAGUACAAUACUCUCUGUUAUCCGUGCGGUUUUGAAGUCAAAUCGAGCACUCAACCCCGAUUCAUCCAAAUGCACAACGUGGCACAUUAUCUCUGCCCCAUCCUUCUGUAGAUACAUGCAACACAGAUAUGCUUUUGUGCUCUCUUGCAAAAGUAAACACAGAAGAAUGCGGCCUUGCAUGGUGUUGGCUGGAGCACAGUAUCUUCCUCAUACCCGCGGCUCCAUAAUCAAGUCAGUAUUGCCUUAAUAAGCUGAAUAAUAGGGGAAUUUCAAAUGUGCACAGGGCUAUUAUGCCGUAACAAUAAAACCUCAAACUGAGUCGAGCAGAGGUAGGCGUCACAAUAUAAUGAGCGCAGUGUUGCACUUGUACAUUCCAUUGUGUGCCAGGGUAAAUGCCGGCUUCACUCGCACACAGAAGCCACAUUAUACGGUAGUCCAAAAAGUGUUCUCAGCCAGUGACUGGUAGUGAUGGAACCUGGCACGAACUCCCUCUGAAAAGCUGACAUUAUUCUCCGAAAUGUGCUGCAGGUGUACGGGGGGCCCUGGAAAUGGGCUCUAAUUACAUAUUUUCUUGCAGGGUAACAAUUAAGGUCGCUAAAAAUAAUUGCCGGUUUCUUGUAAUUCCCCCUCUAGGAAGGCUGACAUGGGGGGCGUUGGUGAAUAUUUACAGUACAUUUUCUAUUUUUAUUGCCUGGAAAAUAACAGAUUCUUGUGUUCCAUGAUAAUAAAAAAAUAUAUAUCUAGUAAUGAUGUCAUAAUGUUUAAUAGAUGAUUACAUACUUUUUUUAAAAACUACAUGAAUCCAAUUUGC